UAUGUUAUUGGCAGCUGCGGGCUCUAGUGGCUCCUCGGAAGGACACUGUAGCGUGGGGAAUACCAGCACUGUCACAUUUGGUGGCAUCGGUAAGAUGAGCUGUGGCAGUGAGGAAUGAAGAUUACUAGGAGAAACAGCAAGUGGGAUAUGUUCCUGCCUUUUAAAAAAGAAGCCACACAUUUCAGCCAGAAGAGGACCCAGUAGAAUGGGGCCAACCUGCACAGUCACAUUUGGUAGCAGUCAUGGGAUAAGCCAAAGUGGUGAGGACUGAAGAUUGGAAGAAGGAAACAGCAAGUGGGAUAGGUGUCUGAGUGUUCAAAACGAAUCCACAAACUCAAGCCAGAAGAGGACCUGGCAGUGAAGGGCUGACCCACACCAUCACAGAGACUUGAAUAAGAGAAGAAAACAAUCACCAGCCUCACUGAUUUUGAAACUAAGUGGAACAAAAACCUGUAGCCACAGAGACCCCCAAGACAUUGAAUGGGAACUAAUGAUCUAAAAUCUUUGUAAUGUAACAUCACAGCAUUCCUGUUUUUGCGGCUCACAAUGAGUUUGAACACAUCUUCUGGAUAAGCUCACUACAACCCAUUUAACGAUGAACCAUAGAAGAGCCAUUAAAAUAGUCCUUUGUCCAUCAGUACUAUCUUUGACUAAGCAUUUUCUGUUUAGUGUUACUUCAUGGUGCCCUGAUGUUUCAGUACUACUUUGACUGAGCUACUGUUCAUGGUCAUGGAAAGAAUGAACUUAUAAAACACCAAACCAUCAUAUUUAACUAUAACUGUGAACUUCUCUAUAUUUUAAGAUGCCUGGAAAAGGCAGGAUGGACAGUUGGCUUAAAUUAGAAAAUCUGUGAGUCUGCUUGCUGCAAAGGACUUUGGUACUUCGCAGAGUUUCACAGCAUUUGCUUCAAGAAUGCUGUUAACUAAAUAGUUUUGCUUACAUAGGUAAAUAUUGAAUGGUUAUGUACUUCAUGUUAUUACAUAAUGCUUACAAAGAUGUUAUAUGCUAUAACACUAUCCUCAGAGA